GAUGAACGCUAGCGGCAGGCUUAACACAUGCAAGUCGAGGGGCAGCAUGAGGGUUAGCAAUAACCCUUGAUGGCGACCGGCGCAAGGGUGCGUAACGCGUGAGCAACUUGCCCGUUUCAGGGGGAUAACCGGUGGAAACGCCGACUAAUACCCCAUAGUAUUGGUUUGAGGCAUCUCUUACCAAUUAAAGAAAUUCGGAAACGGAUAGGCUCGCGUGACAUUAGCUAGAUGGCGGGGUAACGGCCCACCAUGGCGACGAUGUCUAGGGGUUCUGAGAGGAAGGUCCCCCACACUGGAACUGAGACACGGUCCAGACUCCUACGGGAGGCAGCAGUGAGGAAUAUUGGUCAAUGGUCGAGAGACUGAACCAGCCAUGCCGCGUGAAGGUCACGGCCCUAUGGGUCUUAAACUUCUUUUGUAAGGGAGCAAUAAGGUCUACGUGUAGACUGAUGAGAGUACCUUACGAAUAAGCAUCGGCUAACUCCGUGCCAGCCGCCGCGGUAAUAC
rnacentral:rRNA from 1 species